rnacentral:lncRNA from 1 species
UCCCCUCCCCUCGCACAGAGAAUUCUCGGCGAAAGCAGCAGUUGUGAUAAUACAUACCUGGGGCUCAUCACCAGUCAUCCCCUUGGCUGCAGAAUCUGUUUUUGUGCUCAGGCUGCAGUACGGGUCUGCCGAAGGCUGUGGGAAUCCAACGUGCUUUAGAUAAACUCAGUGUUCUUCCCCUUAAAGACCUGACUCAGGCAGAAGUCGACGUGGGCCGGUCUCCGUUGUGCUCCCGGCUCUGACUCGGACAUCAAGAAGGCCCCCGAGUCUUUCCUGGGGAGGCCCAAGUGUCUUUGGCUGCCAGUGAGCUGCAGGAAGGGACGAGCCUUCCCUGUCCCACCACCCGCCCUCGUGCUCCCAGCUUGCUGCCUCCCCCUGACAUCUGACCUCCCAAAGAGCUUCUUCCCAGCAUGGGUUUUUGGGCCCCCUCCCCAAAAGACCAAAAGAGGUGCCUGCCACGUGAGUGUCUCAGACUGUUGGGCGGACAUGGCUCAGAAGGUUCACUGUCUUUAGGGAAAAGGACUAGAGAGGGACCUUUUGUUGCUGUAAGUAAGGAUGGUCCUCGGUUCCAAGAAGAAAAUUAAAGGCUGCUCCUGAGAUGAGCACAGUCAUUUGGAUGAAAGAAAACACAUGGUUGUGUUGAGAGAUCAGAUCUCGACAAGACGGGGCACUACCUCCUGCCCAGAGAGGAUCGGGCCACAGGACGCGAAACUGGAAUUCAUGUGAGAAUCCUUCGCCCCUGUUCUAGCACCUCUAGCUGGC